rnacentral:rRNA from 1 species
CCCUUAGAUGUUCUGGGCCGCACGCGCGCUACACUGACGAAGUCAGCGAGCAUCUCCUACGCCGAAAGGUGCGGGGAAUCUUGUGAAACUUUGUCGUGCUGGGGAUUGAUUUUUGAAAUUCUUGAUCAUAAACGAGGAAUUCCUAGUAAGCGCAAGUCAGCAGCUUGCGUUGAUCACGUCCCUGCCCUUUGUACACACCGCCCGUCGCUACUACCGAUUGAAUGGUUUAGUGAGAUGUUUGGACCGGAACUCUCUUGCUCAGCAAUGGGCGAGAGAGAGUCUGGGAAGUCCCUCUAACUGUAUCAUUUAGAGGAAGUAAAAGUCGUAACA